CAGUCGCCACGGGAAUACGAAGGGGGCUAGCGUUGUCCGGAAUUACUGGGCGUAAAGCGCACGUAGGCGGAUAUUUAAGUCAGGGGUGAAAUCCCGCAGCUCAACUGCGGAACUGCCUUUGAUACUGGGUAUCUUGAGUAUGGAAGAGGUUAGUGGAAUUGCGAGUGUAGAGGUGAAAUUCGUAGAUAUUCGCAGGAACACCAGUGGCGAAGGCGGCUAACUGGUCCAUAACUGACGCUGAGGUGCGAAAGCGUGGGGAGCAAACAGGAUUAGAUACCCGAGUAGUCCCUGUCUCUUAUAC
rnacentral:rRNA from 1 species